rnacentral:rRNA from 1 species
UGGCGGACGGGUGAGUAACGCGUGGGUAACCUGCCUCAUACAGGGGGAUAACAGUUAGAAAUGACUGCUAAUACCGCAUAAGACCACAGCACCGCAUGGUGCAGGGAUAAAAACUCCGGUGGUAUGAGAUGGACCCGCGUCUGAUUAGGUAGUUGGUGGGGUAACGGCCUACCAAGCCGACGAUCAGUAGCCGACCUGAGAGGGUGACCGGCCACAUUGGGACUGAGACACGGCCCAA